UGGGGAAUCUUGCGCAAUGGACGAAAGUCUGACGCAGCCACGCCGCGUGAGUGAAGAAGGCCUUCGGGUUGUAAAGCUCUGUCGGGCGGGACGAAAAGCACCGAGGUUAACAGCCUCAGUGUCUGACGGUACCGCCAAAGGAAGCACCGGCUAACUUCGUGCCAGCAGCCGCGGUAAUACGAGGGGUGCAAGCGUUGCUCGGAAUUAUUGGGCGUAAAGGGUAGGUAGGUGGUCUCAUUUGUCAGGGGUGAAAGCCUUGGGCUUAACCCAAGAAGUGCCCUUGAAACGGUGAGACUGGAGUACUGGAGAGGGUCGUGGAAUUCCCGGUGUAGCGGUGAAAUGCGUAGAGAUCGGGAGGAACACCAGAGGCGAAGGCGGCGACCUGGACAGUGACUGACACUCAACUACGAAAGCGUGGGUAGCAAACAGGAUUAGAUACCCGCGUAGUCC
rnacentral:rRNA from 1 species